CUACUACUAUAAAAAAAAAUGCGUUUUCUUUUCCUCUUUUAUGCAUCUUUAAUCUUUCGUUUUCAUUACUCUAUAAUUACUCCAAUUUUAUCUCCUUAACCAUCUCUUUUAUUUAUUCCAUGAGCCUCACUCUCUAGUCUCUACACACACAAUAUUUAAUAAUUCAUAUAAUAAAAAUUGAAAUUUAAUUUAAUAAAUCAUGCUUUUUUUUGGGCUUUAUUUCAUAGGCCUA
rnacentral:lncRNA from 1 species